ensembl:lncRNA
AUUUUAUUUGACCAAUAAAGUAUUUUUUAUGCACACUUAUACAGAGCAACUUACAGGAGCAAUUAGGUUGAAGUGUCUUGCUCAAGAUGUUUUACCUAGUCAGCUCAGGGAUUCAAACCAGCGACCUUUCAGUUGAUGACCUAACCUCCAGGCUACCUGCCGUUCCAUCCUCUGUGCCUAUCCGGAGAGGCGGAAUCAGAAUACAGAAGAGGAGAGAGGCAGGGUUGAUCAGAAGAGAAGACAGAGGCAGGGUUGAUCAGAAGAGGAGAGAGAGGCAGGGUUGAUCAGAAGAGAAGAGGAGAGAGUCAGAGUUGAUCAGAAGAGAAGAGGAGAGAGCCAGGGUUGAUCAGAAGAGGAGAGAAGCAGGGUUGAUCAGAAGAGAAGAGGAGAGAGACAGGGUUGAUCAGAAGAGAAGAGGAGAGAGCCAGGGUUGAUCAAAAGAGAAGAGGAGAGAGCCAGGGUUGAUCAGAAGAGGAGAGAGCCAGGGUUGAUCAGAAGAGGAGAGAGCCAGGGUUGAUCAGAAGAGAAGAGAGGCAAUGUUGAUCAGAAGAGAAGAGGAGAGAGGCAGAGUUGAUCAGAAGAGAAGAGAGAGGCAGAGUUGAUCAGAAGAGGAGAGAAGAGGAGAGAAGAGAAGCAGGGUUGAUCAGAAGAGAAGAGGAGAGAGG